rnacentral:rRNA from 1 species
AUUGAACGCUGGCGGCAUGCCUUACACAUGCAAGUCGAACGGCAGCACGGGUGCUUGCACCUGGUGGCGAGUGGCGAACGGGUGAGUAAUACAUCGGAACGUACCUUAUCGUGGGGGAUAACGCAGCGAAAGCUGUGCUAAUACCGCAUACGCCCUGAGGGGGAAAGCGGGGGGAUCGCAAGACCUCGCGCGAUUAGAGCGGCCGAUGCCUGAUUAGCUUGUUGGUGGGGUAAAAGCCCACCAAGGCGACGAUCAGUAGCUGGUCUGAGAGGACGAUCAGCCACACUGGGACUGAGACACGGCCCAGACUCCUACGGGAGGCAGCAGUGGGGAAUUUUGGACAAUGGGGGCGACCCUGAUCCAGCAAUGCCGCGUGAGUGAAGAAGGCCUUCGGGUUGUAAAGCUCUUUUGUCAGGGAAGAAACACCGGCUCUAACACAGUCCGGGAAUGACGGUACCUGAAGAAUAAGCACCGGCUAACUACGUGCCAGCCGCCGCCGUAA